UAAACUAGUUUAAACUUCAACUUUUUAAUUCAGUGAUUUAAGAAAACUUUCUAAUCUACACACUCACACUCCUGGUUUCUCUAUUUAAGAGUUGUUUCCACGGUGUUACAUGAAAUUCAGUGUUUUAUUGGAUGUCAGAGCCAGGUAUCAGAGAUAAGGGCACACACUCUGUGCCUCUGGCUCAACUUUUGAGCAUGCCUAGUCUUUUAAACCUCAGCCAACUCAAAAUCCAGGUUGCAGCCCCCUGAGCUUUUGUCUGACACUGUGUUAUCUGAAGGUGGGUGGUAAAACAUAAGGGUGCCGUGCAUCUUUACUGCCUGUUUCUGGAACAUGUCAACAAAUUAUCAAUUUACCCUUAAUUUCGUGAUGCAACCCACACCAAAAAAAAAAAAAAAGUGGCAAAAUAUUUUCCACUUUGCUCUGCAUUUAUUCAGCUUUGGGGAUUUGGGGGAAACAUCAGUAUCCCCAAGUCCAACAUCCCAGUUUCCCUCAUCAUUUGGAAGCACAUUGAAGGGAAGAAUCAGCACGAAGAGAUUGUACUGAAAAUUUCCUUCCCAGGGUUCUGUCAUCCUGAGGAUGGAAAUUUCCAUUUUCAAAUGGAAAGGUGGAGGAAGGAACCCAGGCUGAGCUGUAAGAAAAUUCUGUAAGAAUUUGAAUGGGAAAGGGGCAGAUCCCUGGUGCUGCUGGCACUUUCACAUGCCAUGCUUUUCCUGGACACAAGGUCCUUCCUAAUUGCUUGAUAUUAGUUACAUGUUGUUCUGCUUUAGUCAAAGUUCUUGCCCCAAAUGGCAAAAAUAUGAAAUAUUUUAGUGAUUGUUUUUCCUCAGGAAGGUUGGGUAGGCCUUUCUCUGUAGGACUCGGUGCAUGCAUAGCUCGUUCAGCAGAACUGUUGUACAUGUGGUUUUACUUGAAGCAGGACACUGAUCCUGGAGAGUUAAUAUUCUCACUCUAAAUUUCAAUUUCUUUUUGUUGUGUGGAAGCUGUCUUCAGCCAACAAUUCUGGAGCUUUUGGUAAGCCUUAACCUGCAUAGUGUCUCUGUAUUUAUAUUUUUUCAUUUCAUACAUCCCCACGCUUUCCAUUAGUAAAGACAAAAGUAAAAAUUCCAAAACAUUUCAUAAAUUCUUAGAAGAGAGAAUCUAUUCCUCACAGAUUCAUUUGGGAGGGAUUCAUUUUGAAGGAACUGGAGAACAUCAAAGCCCUGAAGCUUUUAGAAAUCUUUAACUCAUCUUUUGAAAUACGAAACAUGUGUGCCAGACAGUUUUGCCAAAUGUUUACAUUUUGGUGCAUAGCUGAACUGCUGAUCAGAAGUUCAAAUGCUCUUUGUUCCCAAUUUCCCACUAUUAUUCACACUCUGCCCAAACCCAGGAACACCAGCAGUGUUUCCAUGUCACAGGGAGCAGAGAGUGCUCAGCACUUACAGCUCCAGAGUGUACAAUCAGUGAUUCCUCCCUGCAUUUUUUUCUUUAUUAUGCACAAGGCAGAGCAGUAUAAACCCCUCAUGCUCAAGGAAAACACCUUUCCCAAGACAAUAAAGUGCCUCAUCUUGGUGCCUCAGAACAGAAAAAGUGGCUGGAAUGUGUCUGCCACCAGAUUUUCCUGCCCUGUGAAAUCCCAGAAAUGUCCUUUGCCCCAUCUCUCUCCCAAGGGCUGUCCUAGAUUUAAGGUAGACACCUCCUGUUGAUUAUUAAUCCUGCUCUGUGUAACAACUCCCUCUGCAAAGAUUACUGACUGCAGAGGAAUUGCUGGAGCAGGAAAGCCAAUCCAGAUAUUUAUUUGGGCUCCAGAAGUUCAGGAAGAUGAACAUCAGAGCAAGCAAUGGGCCCUACUGAGGGAAGUGAAACAUCAGCUGACAGAUUUUGUUACAGUAUUGUGGAAUGUGCCAUGAAAAAGGACAACAAUGAUGAUUUUGAGAUCUUCCAUGGCACAACUUCCAGUGUUCCACGAGAUGCAAAGUGGGAUUCAGCAAGCAUAAACCAGGAGGGGAAGAGGCAAUAGGAAGCUGAUUAAAAAUUCAAAAUCUUUGUCUUCACUGAGCUUUGGAACAGACUCUGUAGGAUCACAACAGUGUUCAUAUCCCUCCCUUCAAACCCAAAUGCACUGAAUUCACCAAGACAUCUGAUCACACUUUUGCUACUCUCCUGCUCAGCUAAAAGCCAAAGAAGAGAACUAAAGCAUAACUUAAAGAAAAUAUUCCCAACAGGAGUUUACUGGAAGGAAAAACAUAGUUGUAUCUCGUCUGGAAGGUAAAACAGACAAAGGAAUAUUCUGUGAGACAGUAACAAACACCAAACAGCUUUUACAUCAGAAAAGCAGAGAAAUGGCCUCUCACAACUUGCUGAACUAAUUGUUGAACUGGCAACUGGUCAUUUUGAGAUGUGACUGACCUUUGGAUUUCAGGAACCUUCAGACUUCAAACAGUUCCCUAAUUGCAGCCAUUAAGAGUUACCAGGAAAAAGGAGCACCAAGGAACUCUGCAAGUACUGAGAUCUUUCUUUCCCCUGGCCCUGGCAUGUUUUCAGCACUUUCUGCUGUACUGACUUUAAUUAGCUGACCACAAAUCUUGCUUAGGUUUUUAUUGCUACAUUUAGAAAUAGGUAAAGCCACCAGCCACUGCUGAAGGAUGGUGGCAGGGAAAUGUUUUUGAGCUGUCACCAUACAGAACUACCAAAAAAAGGAGACACCAGGGGUGAUACUGUUAACCCUUGAUCCCAGAGAAGUUACCAAGUGGGGAAAAAAGGCAAAAAAUUACAGUGAAACACACAAAUGUGGGAAGGUCUACAUCUAGCAAUAAAAAUUUUGAAAAAUAUCUUAUUUCACAAUGAAGAAUUUCCAGAGCAAGCAUUCUGGAAGAGUUUCCUAACCUCUCUUGAAAGGUUUUCUAAACUUUCUAGAAAGUAAAGGUCCCACAUUGCAAUUAAAGAGCUUCAAAUCCUUGAGGAUGACUCCUGAGGUCUUGCACAGAGCUGGAAACAAGCUGUCACUUUCCUAACUUGUGUAACACAACAAUGGGCUCAUUCAUCUCUUUUUUUACAGAUUCUGACAGGCUUUUAUCAGUGCUCUACUCAGCAGAGGUCACAAUAGCAUUGGUAAGGCAAGAGACACUCGUGCAAUUAAAAGUAAAAAAAGCUGCAGAUCUCUCCAUGCUAUCCAUGACAGAACCAGCAGGAAAAAAUAGAGACCCAAGGAAAUUUCUGCCCUCCUAACAAAAACACACUAGCCUAAUGGACAGGAUCACAAGCUGUCUAAUAAAUGGCUUAAAUUAUUUAUUGGCAUUGCAAUAAAGCAAAUCCACUUAGAGGCAUAUGAGUAAAAAGGAAACCCACAGCUUUCCAGACAUAUUUUCCAGACAGUAUGUCAAGUUCCCAUAAUUUUGUUCUACACACUUUUGCAGCUCCUCCUCUACUUUCAUAUUCAUGGAUGUAUCUCCCUGAAAUACUGUGGUGACUAGAAGUGCCAGCUUCACAGUCUUUAUUGGGAAGAAAAUGCAGAAAUAGCAUUUAGGGAGGCUGGAGUUAUGUAUGUGUACAUUGUUUAUCAGAUCUGCUUGUCCCUGCAAAGAAUGAAAAACCAAAAUCAUAAAACUCCUCGAAAUCAAGUAACCCAGCUUGUCUGAAGAGGAGCAGCAGGAUUCAAACUGUGCUGAGAAACUUGGAGUUAGCACUCAAGGUUAUUUGACAUCUUUUUAUAGUUAAGUAUACUUGUUUUGUUACCAUUUAGAGAGAAAAGCAAGCUUCACUCCUUUGCAAUCUCCUGGUUUGACAUUUUUUUUAUCCCCCAGACUUCCUAAAAGUCCCCUGACAUAGCACAGAAUGCUUUAGACCUAAGUGAAAGAACACAAAGCUGAAUUUCUGCACUUAAUUGAUUCUCCUUAAAAAUAAUGGCCACAGGGGUGGGAGGCCAGGAGGCUCAGGGGAUUAGCAAGGGAUAUGAAAUAUUUCCACUCUAAGUCAAUGGUUCACAACCAGUCCAAGUCAGCACAUGCUUGGAAAACCAUUUGAUGGCCCAUGUGAAAUGAGCUGGUGGUCUCAGUAAAACUCCUGCUAGGCACAUGUCUGCAAGUUGAUUUUCUUGUUUGAGGCCUCUGAAAGCACUCCAAAAGGAAAUAAUCACUGACAUCUAAGUGUAAGGUACAUGAAGAGGUUUUUUUGGGGUGGCAAGGAACAAAACCAGCUGUUCAAAUCUGAGCAGUGUAGGAGCCUGGACUGGUGGGAUUUUUGCAAUGGAGAAGUUACCUUGUUGAGCUGGAAGUGCACAUAAACACAUCUAAAGAGAUCUUGCAUUAUGCAUUACCUCUCACUGUGGGGACAGUCGAGGUUUUUGGGAGACACAGAUGAAUUGGAUCAGUCACCACUGAAGCAGAUGCAGCUCAGAGCAAAAGGAAGGAAUUGUUCAGCAAGACAGCACCAAACAAUGGGGUCCAACAAGCACAGGGAGGAGGAAAAUGAACAGUUUUGGCUAGGUAGGACAUAAGUGAGUGAAGUUCUCUCUCUCCAUCAAGUCAUUACACCUCUAUGCCAGAUAAAAAUGUCACAAGCUCAGCGUUAAAACUCAGCUACUCCA